UGGGGAAUCUUCCGCAAUGGACGAAAGUCUGACGGAGCAACGCCGCGUGAGUGAAGAAGGUUUUCGGAUCGUAAAAACUCUGUCUUUUGGGGGCGAACGUGAGUAUGGUAAAUAAUCAUAGUCAGUAACGGUACCAAAGGGAGGAAGCCACGGCUAACUACGUGCCAGCAGCCGCGGUAAUACGUAGGUGGCAAGCGUUGUCCGGAAUUAUUGGGCGUAAAGAGCGCGUAGGCGGGAUAGUCAGUCUGUUGUAAAAGUGCGGGGCUCAACCCCGUGAUCGCAAUGGAAACAGCUAUUCUUGAGUGCAGGAGAGGAAAGUGGAAUUCCCAGUGUAGCGGUGAAAUGCGUAGAUAUUGGGGAGGAACACCAGUGGCGAAGGCGACUUUCUGGACUGUGUCUGACGCUGAGGCGCGAAAGCCAGGGGGA
rnacentral:rRNA from 1 species